UACGUAGGGUGCAAGCGUUGUCCGGAUUUAUUGGGCGUAAAGGGCUCGUAGGCGGCGUGUCGCGUCGGGUGUGAAAGCCCGGGGCUUAACCCCGGUUCUGCUUCCGGUACGGGCAUGCUGGAGUGUGGCAGGGGAGACUGGAAUUCCUGGUGUAGCGGUGGAAUGCGCAGAUAUCAGGAGGAACACCGGUGGCGAAGGCGGGUCUCUGGGCCAUUACUGACGCUGAGGAGCGAAAGCGUGGGGAGCGAACAGG
rnacentral:rRNA from 1 species